GAGAGAGAACCAGAGAGACAAAAGGACGCAGGGACAGAGAGAGAUAGAGAGAGACACAGGGCCAGAGAGAGGAAAAAAGGGCCACAGAAAGGCAGAAAGAGAGAUACGUAGAGAGAGGAAAGACAGAGAAAAUGAGACAGAGAAUGAGAAAAAUAGAGGGACAGAGAGACAGAAAAAGACAGAGACAGAGACAUAGGGAGAGAGAUAGGAGAACAGACAGUCAGAGAGAGACAAAGAGAGACAGAAAAAGGGAACAACAGGAGUGGGGGGCAAAGAGAAAUCAAGAGACAGAGAGAGAGAGACAGAGACACACACACACACAGGAGAGAGUGCGAAGGACAGAGACAGGGAGACACUAGAGAUAAAGAGAAUCAGAGAGACAGGAAGAUAGAGGUGGAGAGAGAGACAGAGAGAGAGCCCUGGCCAGGUCAGGGGAGGGAGGAGGCUAUGAAGCCCAUGACCAUUGGCCUCCAUGUCUGCCCAGCUGUCCACCUCUGCAUGAGGAUGAAGUCAAGCAAUGAGAAAGGUUAUCUAGGUGUGAGCUGGCCAAGAGGGGAGCUGCCAGGCAGCCCUUGGCCCUCAGGAGCUGGGCCCGCCCAGAGCAGGAGCAGAACUAAGAGGUGACAUUAUGAGUUCACUGCCUUCUUGACCAUCAAAACAAGCCAAGAACACAUCUCAGAGCUGCUUUCAACAAAGUGGGCUUUCCAUGUCUUCUAAAU
rnacentral:lncRNA from 1 species